rnacentral:rRNA from 1 species
GAUGAACGCUGGCGGUAUGCCUAACACAUGCAAGUCGUACGAGAGUUUUUAACUCUAGCGGCGGACGGGUGAGUAACACGUGAGCAAUCUGCCUUUUGCUGGGGAAUAACAUUGUGAAAACAGUGCUAAUACCGCAUGACAUCCGACCGGGGCAUCCCGGACGGAUCAAAGGAGAAAUCCGGCAGAAGAUGAGCUCGCGUCCGAUUAGCUAGUUGGUGAGGUAACGGCUCAUCAAGGCGAUGAUCGGUAGCCGAACUGAGAGGUUGAUCGGCCACAUUGGGACUGAGACACGGCCCAGACUCCUACGGGAGGCAGCAGUGGGGAAUAUUGGGCAAGUGGGGGAAACCCUGACCCAGCAACGCCGCGUGAAGGAUGAAGGCUUUCGGGUUGUAAACUUCUUUGAUCAGGGACGAAAAAAAUGACGGUACCUGAAAAACAAGCCACGGCUAACUACGUG